AAACGUCUGUCUGUUGUUGACUGCGCAACGUUUAUCAAGAGGAAUGUGUCUACUCCGGUUCCUUCCCCCCUUACUUUGUGAUGAUUGGGCAGCACGACCGGCUCUGCCCGGUUUGAUCCUGUUGGUUCCCCGACGAUGCAGUGCGUUGAGUAGGCUAAGUAAGGGGAUACAUCAUCCAAGGAGGCAGACAUCAUUCACCGCAAACUAUGCAACUUCUUAGGGUGGAACCUGAAGGGUGCAUCAAAGCAACCAUUGAUGAUUUCCAUUGUAAUCUCUAGGUUUGGGGCUGUCCAUCAUUGUUAUAAGUAGGCGAGUGAUAUCUCGAGAUUAUGUAUUUUGGACAAUCAUAACAAAACUACAGACAUAAAAUACAGCGCUGCUGAAUAAGCGGCCUACGUAACAAUUUAAUUUAGAUAAGGCGAUUUGGUUAAUUAUUAAGAUAUUUCAUGGCAUUUAGUUUUAUAACUGUUUAACAAUGAUGUUAUCUGGGUAAAUAGAGAUACGAAGAAUGUAUUGUUGAGUCACAUAACAUAAUUUGUUUGUCUCAUGUAACAUUUCUUUAGAGCAGAGCAGGAUCCAGCCUCGCGAGAAUACGCCUCGCUCGCCGAGAGACGAAAGUUGCGCAGGCGCACAGUUGUACAUCUAUGGUGGAGGGAGUCUUUGGUGAAACUCAACAAACAUCCGAAACGUCUCAAAAAAUUCUAUUUUAGUCACAACGAGGAUCAUCGUUUGACAUCCAUGAAGCCUGAAGCGUCUCAAUGGAAACUUGAGCAAAAAGGGCUGGACUGUUGGACUAGCUAGCUAGCCUAGCCUAGCCUAGCUAGCUAUAUACGCAGCUGUACUUUUGACUAUCACCGUGUUUUCUGUUUUGUUCAUUCUAAUAAAAUAUAACUUGCAUGUCA